GACGAACGCUGGCGGCGUGCCUAAUACAUGCAAGUCGAGCGAGCGGCGGACGGGUGAGUAAUGUAUGGGGACUGCCCGAUAGAGGGGGAUCUCUACUGGACACUGUGGCUAAUCCCGCAUCCUCUCGUAUAACCCAUAUGGGAUUAGCUAGUAGGUGGGGUAAAGGCUCACCUAGGCGACGAUCUCUAGCUGGUCUGAGUGGAUGAUCAGCCACACUGGAACUGAGACACGGCCCAGACUCCUACGGAGGCAGCAGUGGGGAAUAUUGCACAAUGGGCGCAAGCCUGAUGCAGCCAUGCCGCGUGUAUGAAGAAGGCCUUAGGGUUGUAAAGUACUUUCAGCGGGGAGGCGUUACCCGCAGAAGAAGCACCGGCUAACUCCGUGCCAGCAGCCGCGGUAAUAC
rnacentral:rRNA from 1 species